CCCGAAGACUCUGUGCUGAGUUUGUGUUCCUUCCAGCUCCCUCAGAGUGGGUGGAUCAGUGCAGCCCAGCCCAGCCCAGCCUGCCAUUUACUACAUCAUCUUCUGGCUUUCCUCAGCUGCACAGCAGAACAGUCUAGCUCAGCCUGCCAGCCUGCUUGUGCCAGUAGACCUCCUGCGUUCAUUCCAGCUCCCUCCGAGUGUUUGAGUGUCCUCCUCCAGCCAGCCGUUUCGCUCCCCUUCCGCUGGCUUCUCUCAGUAAUUCAGCUAGGUGGUCUAUCCCCUAACGCCAGCCUUUCUGCCACCCAGAUAGAGGGGUCCUGCAGGAACAGCCUGCCUAGUUGUGAUCAUCAGCUGGGAAGUAGGAACAGCAGCAUCUGCCUCUGGAGAACAGGCAGCUGCUGUGGGAAACAAUAUCAAUGGUCUGCAGAAAAUCAGGGAUGGAUUAGGAGGGAAGAGGGCCUGUGCUUCUGUUCCAAGGUUGGACUCCCCCAACUGUAUUUUAUCUCCCAUGAUGCACUACAGCCAUAGGAUUGCCAUGAUGCACUGCCUCCCCUCCUAAAGAGUAAAGACCAUGGAUGGUGUGAAAGUGAAGAGGAGAGUGGUCACGUUUGCAGCAGCCAUUACUAUUGUAAGGAUUCUACAAAAAGAGGAAUUUUGUUUGUUCCAAGAGGUCAUCUGCCUCUUCUCCAUAUUCCUCAUCUGAAAUGGAUGAUGUCAAAAUCCAGAGAUGUAAGAUGAAUUUUCUCAGCCAGUUUCCAAUCUGAAAGGCUCCAAAAUAGAGCAGCAAUAUUUGACUCCAUCUAAACUCCAUUCCACAGCUUACUAUCAGCCAUGGGAAUUUACAAGCAUUCCAAGGAGCCUGAGGAAAUCCAGGAAACCACAAUGACAGCUCUACUUGAAAAGACCAUUAUAUGAUAGUGACUUGAGAGAGAAAAUGUAGCAUAUUUUACCCCAUUCAUGAAAGAUUAGAAAUAUCACUUAUAUUAAACUGUUUGGUUUAAUAAAUGAUUUGGUUUUAAUUAGAGCUGGUCAGGAAUUUUUUCAUAGAAUGUUUUUUGUUGAAAAAUGCCAGUUUGUUGAAACCAAAACUUUGUGCAGGAAUGUAGCAUAUUCAGCAACGUUUUCAAGAGAGGUUUCUGAGGUACAAGAUGGAAUAUGUAGUCACAGAGGGAGAGAGACAGACAGAUACCAGAACAGCCUGGGACUUGGGAGGCCUGUGUUCAUGACCUUGAUCCAAAUCAACUACAGUGGGGAUUCAAACCUGGGUCUUACAGAUUGCAGGUGAGUUUCCUAAUACAAGGCUAUUCUGGGGCCCUUCUCUGUGUGGGGGGAAAACUUCAGAAGGUCUGUUUUGUCCCAAAGUGCAACAGAAAAUUUUUUGAAAUCUUGAAAAUUUUUGUGGGACAGGUAUCAGAGGGGUAGCUGUGUUAGUCUGGAUCUGUAAAAGCAGCAAAGAGUCCGGUGGCACCUUCUAGACUAACAGACGUAUUGGAGCAUGAGCUUUCGUGGGUGAAUACUCACUUCGUCGGAUGCAUGGGACAGGAGAGCCAUUUCCCUACUAGCUCCAGUUGUAAUGCCUUGUGGGCAGACAUUUGUUUGCAUCAGCUGGGAUUUUCCAUAUAAAGGUCAUAGUGAUUGACUUCUUGGAGAUAUGGCUACGUUCUUACUUGUGUCUUGCUGUAUCAUGUGCAAACUUUUUUUUAAAUGUACCAUUUGUUCUCUUUAAGUAAUUUACACAUUAUAGGCAAGAAGCCUCCUCAGAGAAAUUACUGGUUAUUUUCCCAUCCAUAUGUUUAACAAUGAGCUUGGUGUGAUGCUGUGUAUAAGAAAGAUGAUCAUUUGUAUCAUUGUUUCUACCACUAUUAUACAAUUGCAACACAUUUUGUACGACGUAUGUCAUGUAAGGUGUCAAUGGAAAAGUUACGAUUUACUAAGUAUGAUUAUCCUGUUUAUAUGCAUGGUAUCGUCUUUGUAUGUGAAGUUAUGAAUAUUGGCUAUGGACUUGUAUCUUAAACAUGUGUUGUAUUCCUGGAUGACACCCCUCAGACAGAAUUUACAUCAGGGCUAGACAACUAUGUGUUGAUGGCCCAUCAAGGACACUCCACUCUCACAAUGGGUCAUUGAAGAAACUCAUGCUGCCCAGUACAUCUUUCUGCAGAUGCCUCAGACAGAGAGGAGCCAAUGGCCAUCCCCUGUGAUUCAGCAAAACAUGUAGGGGUAUGUGAUAUGCUCAUGUGAUCCCGGACUCCAUCUUGGCCUGAAACUUUCCACACACAGGGACUGUGGGCUUUGUUUGGAACAGUAAGUUUCCAUGCACAUGACAGAGGAUAUAAAAAGAAACCCGAGACACCUCCAUGUUGCCUCUUUCCUGCUCUACUUCUCUGGAUUGUGGAUUUACAACUAAAAGGAGCACCUUGAACUAUGGACUGAGCACCUUCCAAUCUUUUGGAAGUUGCCAGAGAGACUUGAAAAGCCAGCAGUCUGUUUCACCACUGUGACUUUGCAAUCAUUAGUAUGUAUGUGAUCUAUUAACCAUUUAUAACUCUCUUCUUUUCUUUUAUUAUUGAAUUUUUAGUUAGUUUACUAAGGAUUGUCUGACAUUGUGAUCUUUGGGUAAGGUCUGAGAUUCAUAUUGACCUGAGGAUAGAAAGAAUCUCACAUAUGGUGAAAUGGGUUUUCAAUAACCUCUCACUAUAUUAGAUUGGGUUGCCUGGAUGGGAGCCAAGGGCUGGAAUGCCUAAAGGGGACUGUGUUUGGCUUCUGGUUAAACAGUGUGGUACUGCAGAUGCUCUUUUGUUACUGAUUUGGUGAAUCUAAUUAUAAAGUAAACCACCAGAUUUGGGGAUUGUCUGCCCUGAGUGUGGCAUUAUCAGUGUGGUCUAUCACAGGCACCCAGUCACACCUGGUGUAAGAGCUCUGGCUGGAUAAGCACCCAAACAUUCUGAUAUAUAUUUUUUUAAUCCUUGUCAGAUCUGGAAAUUUCUCCCUCUGUAUUGGACAGAAAUACAAUGGAAAAAAGCCUCUCUUGAAAUAUCUUGGUUGCUUUCAGCAAGAACCAGAAAGUCCAGAGGCACACAAAUAUGAAGUAAAAAAGAUUAAGCACAUCUUUGCAGAUCUUAAACCUACCAACCAAAUCAAACAUCCUACCAACAACAAACCACCACCACCACAAAUUUGGUUUGAGUUUUUGGGGUAAAGGUUUGGCUCUUUCUUUUGAGAAUUUAUGAUUUAUUGUUCCAAUUUUUUAAAUAAAUUUCUUUUGUGAGAAGUUAAUAUUUCCUUUUGUAGGGUGAGUUUAGAUAGUAAACCUCAAGGCCAUCGCUCAGAUAAUUUUGAGGAAAUGUAUAGCUGGCAUUUUCCAAGUUUCAUAGGUGGAUUUAUCCCCACAACUUCCAUCAGUUUGAAUGGGAACGUCGAGGCAAAUUCAUGUUGUCAGUUUUGAAAACCUCAGUGUUCUCUGCCUAUAACAUCCAUAGUACUUGUCUCCAUACUAGUCAUUAACUGAGGAAUUUUCAACCAGUUGGUUAAGUUGUGGUUCUACUCUGAAACACUGUUAAGAUAAAAGAUGCCUCCACCCAAUGGAUCUGCUUUUUGUAUGUACCUACUUCUUGAUAUUAGUGACAAAGAGGUGUUCAUUCUUCAUUAAUCUCAUUUAACACUAGAGUCUGGGCUAGAGAAAGGAAUCUGUAUUCUAUUCUGUUUUGUGAAUCUUCAACAGAAUUGUUUGCUACGUUCCAAUCAGUGUCACAUGCACAGCCCCGAGGUUGCACAGGUGUCACCGAGGGCAUACCUUAAAGAUGCACAGAUAUAACUGCUGUUGUGAUUUGCCCUACAAAACCUUCAUUACUAGUUGUGAUACAUGAGAAGGAAAGAGCCCAUCUUGAUUCUCAGGUCCCUGGUUGUUUCCAAGGCUAGCAAAAGGAGACUUAGGGCAUUUGAUAUGGAAAUCAAUUUGAGACAAUAAAUGUGGAACCCCAUGUGUAACAUUAUUGGGUUUCACCAGACUCCUGUACUGUUGCAGGUGGUGAAAGUGGCUCUUUGUAGCUGAAUGUAUAGCCAGUUAGACUGUGGGGAAAAUGACUUUUGCCAUUGAUGCUGUAGUUGCUUUUAGGUGCUUUGCUGAGCCUAUCACCAGUAAAAGCUUUGUCUUAGCUUGAAUCUUUCUUCUUUAGUCUCUCUCACUCAUUGGGCUAUUUCUUAAGCAUGGAGCUGCUGCCACAGAAGCAAACAAAAUAUUACAUGGUUCCAAAGCAUUAUGCAAUGAUGCCAUGUUACAGAAUCAUUUUUCAGAGCAGAGCUGCACCUUAAGCAAGAUUUUGGUCCAAAUAAGUUGACAUGGGCCGGCUUGAAAGAAAUUGCAUGCUGGUUUUUUGCUAUGUGCUGCUUGCUAAAUUCCACAUCCAUCCCCAAAUGCUGUUAAUCCAAGUGGGCUGUGUUCUUUAGUAUAAUAAAGUACCUUUUCUCUCCCUUUUAAAAAACUAUUGUGUUUGAUUUGCCAGGCUACAAUCCUCAGGAAUCUUACAUCUCGCUAGAGAAUGCCUACAGUUAGCAACUGAUUUUGAUCCUUUCCAUCUUCAUUUCUUUUAAAUGGAUGGAGGUUACCUGGACCUGGACCUUUGCCUCCCCUGAAAUCUGCAGUCUUUAAAUAAUGCUACCCAGAGUGACCGUCCCUGUUUAAUUCCUUCAUUUUGUGGCAUUUGGCAAUGAGUGAUUUUUCUAGUUUUGCUCCAGGGAACCCAUCCCAGAACAAAAUGUUAUGCAGGUACAACUGUAAACAAAACUGAAAUGGCUAGGCCAUGCAGUAGCAAUUCAGGAUCAUUUGCCAUCCUCUUGGAAUUCAGGAAAGUGUCAGCUAAGGUCAGGACUCUUCUGGGAAAAUUAGACGGAUGGUAAAAGUAUUACCAGCCGACUAUCAAACGCCACAUACCAUGAAAUAUCCCUGACUUAGGCAACCCUUCCCUUCCUGUAAUGACAGAAGGAAAGCAACUGUUUAAGAAAUCUGUCACUUUCUUAUCCCCCGUCUCCAAUUCCCCAAUACCAAUUUUAGUGAACCAAGUUUCUCCAUUACAUUCUGUGUGUUUGUGGGCAUAUUUGUAAAGCUCUUUAUUAUUAGAUGAAAUAUUAUCUGCAAUUUAACAUUUGGUGCUUCCCCCCUCCCCCAUAACAUGGUGAUUUUCGUAACACUGCUCCACUUCUUAUCAGAUUUUUGGCUGGUUUCUGUUCUCUGUUACACUGAUAUAAACCAGGACUAGUACCCCUGACUUCUUUUUUGGCUGCUUGCUGUCUGUUUCAUGAGGACUUGGAGAAUCAAAGCCUUUGCACCAAUGGAACUGUUCAUGGAAAGAGAGAUUUCAGGAUAGGGUCCAUAAAUGGCCUGGUGUAGCUAGAGAAACUUCUAUCCAUCUACAGCAUCUCCAAGAUGCUGCUUAUCUUGGCAGCUAAGAGCUGACUUGAAUUGAAUUGGACUUGAUGACUUGAACUUGAGCACUGACCCGUAUCCUCAGUUUGAGGUAAAGAUUUUUGAGUCUCUGAUUUUGAUGCUGGGCUUCAGUGGGACUAAGCACCCACAAUACCUGUUGAUUUUGAUGGAAAGUGAAGCUGCUUGGCACCUUUUAGAGUUAGGCCCUUUGUUUGUUUCUUAUUGUACUUUACUGUUUAUUGAACUUUACUGUUUCAGUAAAUAAUCCGGUAUAAAACUAUAUGCUUCUGGUCAGGACCUUCUUUCUUCUCUCAUAUAUUUCAUAUUUUCAUGUAUAUACAUACAUGUACACCAUAAACUGGGAUGACCAGUGUAAUUUCCUCAUGAUUCUACUAUUUGUGUCAUGCAACCAUCUCAGUUAUGCUGAUUUAAACCCCUAGACAUCACCACUCUUUCUGUGUGUGCUCACUUUCUGUCUCUCAUGUAUGAGUGUGUGUGUGAUGUUAUGGUGCAAUCUAGAGAUUUAUUGUUAUGAAUUUGGGAUGACCAUACCACUCAUGAGUGGGAGUUAUGUAGUUCAUCCCAACAAGUGUCAAUAACGACUUUAUACCACAUAUUCCCUAUAUGUGCCAGAUGUUCCACAGAAAGCUUUUUAAGGAAUCUUUUAGAGAGUUAUAAAGUUGUUUCUUGGUGCAGAUUUUCAAACCCCUUCACCUGGAAGUCUUAGUUACCAUUAGUACAAUGGUAGAAACUUCCAAGGGAGAAGAAAAUCAUAAAUAAUACAUUUUAGAAUCCUUAAAAAUGUCCUAAAACAGCUUUUCCAUGCAUAAUGUAUAUUAUUUCACCUGUGGGAUUAUACUAAACAAAACUAAGGACAUAAUGGAAACAAUUUUCUAUAAAUAUUCAUUCAAAUUAAAAACCAAAUUUCAAUUCAGCUAUGUUCAUGAUCCUUUGUGUUCACUUUCUUUGAACUUUCAA